AACAAAAACUGGCGGCGAGGAACCGCGGAGAACUGUUGCCCUGCACCGCUUCAUUUUGUGCAGCCUGAAAGGGGCAAUCACAUAAGGUCCGUUUUGUAAUAUACAGGUAACAUACAGUCCGGGCAGUUGAGAAGGCCACCCCGCUUCGUGCCUGCAGCCCAGUUCCUCUUAGGUCUUGGACUGGUGUGGAUCGCUGCUGCCUGUACUGUAAUUUUGGAAAUGCAGGAGAAAGUACGGAGCGUUUAGCUUUAGCUGGCAUUUUGUGUUUAUUCUGCAAGUGGUCAUUUGGGACGGGGAAGUUCGGGUUCUUGCUUCAUUUAUUUAUUCAAUUAACUUUAUUAAGCCCCUGGAACGUGCUGAACCCUCUUUUGGGUACUGCAGGAUUGUGGUGGGCUUUACUUCAAGGCGCGCUGGCCUGUAUUAAGAAUUAAGAUAGAGGAGGCCGGGUGCAGUGGCUCGCCCCUGUAAUCUCAGCACUUUGGGAGGCCGAGGCAAGUGGAUCACCUGAGGUCAGGAGUUCAAGACCAGCCUGGCCAACAUAAUGAAAUCCCCAUCUCUACUAAAAAUACAAAAAUUAGCUGGGUGU
rnacentral:sRNA from 1 species